UCUCGCAGAAGGCAGAGGGGCCCGCGGGGCGAACAGAGAGGGAGAAAUCACACGGCUGCUCUUCAAAAGGGAAACCUGUGUACAGCAGCCGGCAAAGUGCGUGGGAUCAUACUCAGAAUGCAGGUUGACUACUCCUACUUUCAAACAGCAGGAGAACACUUCAACUCUUACAGUACACAUCGAAACGGCACAGACCAGGACACCCAGGUGACAGAGAGGGGGAAAGAAAGUGAUGGAGAGAAAGAGGGAGAGAAGAAGAGUGUGUCACAUUCCUUCCUGUUCCUGUACCACCCUCCAACCCCAGAGCUGCAGACUCAAGGCGGUUUCCAGAAUCAAACAAUUUCACGCAGCUACUGGAGGAGGAAAUGAACUGAGCCCAGAGCAAUAAUACAAUUAUACAAAUGUUAUUACAGACUCGCCUGCUACUGUCCUACUUUAAUUCAAAUUUGGGAACUCCAGGCAGCGCUGGUGGCAGAGACCUUCCUGAAUAAAUCAACAUUAGCUUACUUCUAAAUUAUUAAGGAAGUGGGAGACUUUCUUGUUUAUAGUAUGAAUUAUGAAACAAGUGUUUUACGCUGUUUUUCUUCAUGAAUCCCCAAAUAUUAAUUGCUAAUGAUCUUUAAGGUGUGUGUUUUAUCUCUGUGCCCCCCUAAGUUGUAUCGGCUGCUGAGAGGCAUUUUGCAUCAGAAGCUAUAAGUUUUGAAGAUUCUACAUACAGUAAAUGUGAGGAAUGUUAGAUUAGGAAAUUAAUUAAAGAUAAUGCCUGAGAUAAUGCCUUUCCUUCUUGUAUAAUAUGCAUGAUGUGCUUUAUUGGUUCUGUAUAGCACAAAUAAACCUCUUUCAGUUUGGUGUCC